UACGGAGGGGGCUAGCGUUGUUCGGAAUUACUGGGCGUAAAGCGCACGUAGGCGGACUGUUAAGUCGGGGGUGAAAUCCCGGGGCUCAACCCCGGAACUGCCUUCGAUACUGGCAGUCUAGAGGACGGUAGAGGCUAGUGGAAUGGCGAGUGUAGAGGUGAAAUUCGUAGAUAUUCGCCGGAACACCAGUGGCGAAGGCGACUGGCUGGACCGUUACUGACGCUGAGGUGCGAAAGCGUGGGGAGCAAACAGG
rnacentral:rRNA from 1 species